AUUGAACGCUGGCGGCAGGCUUAACACAUGCAAGUCGAGCGGAGAUGAGGUGCUUGCACCUUAUCUUAGCGGCGGACGGGUGAGUAAUGCUUAGGAAUCUGCCUAUUAGUGGGGGACAACAUUCCGAAAGGAAUGCUAAUACCGCAUACGCCCUACGGGGGAAAGCAGGGGAUCUUCGGACCUUGCGCUAAUAGAUGAGCCUAAGUCGGAUUAGCUAGUUGGUGGGGUAAAGGCCUACCAAGGCGACGAUCUGUAGCGGGUCUGAGAGGAUGAUCCGCCACACUGGGACUGAGACACGGCCCAGACGCCUACGGGAGGCAGCAGUGGGGAAUAUUGGACAAUGGGGGGAACCCUGAUCCAGCGAUGCCGCGUGGGUGAAGAAGGCCUUCGGGUUGUAAAGCCCUUUAGGUUAGGAGGAAGGGUGUUGGAGGAAAUGCCGACAUUUUGACGGUACUGACAGAAUAAGCACCGGCAAACUCUGUGCCAGCCGCCGCGGUAAUAC
rnacentral:rRNA from 1 species